rnacentral:lncRNA from 1 species
CACAGAUCCUUGAGACAGGGAAAAAGACACAUUCUAGGAAAGAGGAAAGGAGCUCUGUUCAAAUAAUUUCAUUUGUUUCCUGAGCCUCUUCUGACAGCAGUUUUUUUCCUGAAGUGGUGGGAAAGCAAAGACAACAGCCUAUCUGAGAAGAUUUGCCUCAAGGAAGGACUGAAAUUCCCUAGAGGGCUAAAUGCUGUGUAUCAUUGUACAAGUGGCUUCUCCUUGCAAGAGAAUCUCAAGAGACAGUUUGCAACGACCGGUGGAAGGUGGCUGAUCCAGAUGGGGCAAGAAGCUGGGGCAAGAGGUAGUUUUCUUAAAGGUGGUUUUUACUUAACACGUAAUGUUCCUCAGAAUCAGAGAGCAUAACUGAAAUGCAAGGUGAGUAACAGCGUCUGAUUUUGUGAGUAACAAUGUUAGGUGUUACCUUACAUUGCUUCCAGUCUUUACUAUUAAUAGAAGUGAAAUAAAACUACAAGUGUGUAAACA